rnacentral:rRNA from 1 species
CAAGUCAUCAUGGCCCUUACGAGUAGGGCUACACACGUGCUACAAUGGCAUAUACAAAGAGAAGCGACCUCGCGAGAGCAAGCGGACCUCAUAAAGUAUGUCGUAGUCCGGAUUGGAGUCUGCAACUCGACUCCAUGAAGUCGGAAUCGCUAGUAAUCGUAGAUCAGAAUGCUACGGUGAAUACGUUCCCGGGCCUUGUACACACCGCCCGUCACACCAUGGGAGUGGGUUGCAA